CAACACUGAGAAGCAGUGUCUGAGGCACUAAGAAAGUGACAGAUCCUAGUCACUGGGACACCAGAGCUGGCCUCCUCUGACCUUCGAGCCCUGACCCAACUCUCCUCAGCCCCCCACAGUGGAGAGACACAGCCCCUUUCUCUUUCUCCCCAAGCUCUCGAUGGAGCAGGGUCGACCCCGGAGCAGCCUCAGCCUGGCCAGCAGCGCUUCGACAGUUUCUUCUCUGAGCAGCCUGAGUACCAAGAAGCCUACCCGGGCAGUACACAAGGUCCAUGCCUUUGGGAAAAGGAACCAUGCCCUUCGGCGAGACCCGAACCUUCCUGUGCACAUCCGUGGCUGGCUGCAUAAGCAGGUGAGGUUGGACAAGGCUGAGGUCCCUGGAUGCUGUGACUGGCUACUGACUUUCCUUCCACAUUGCCACCACCUGCUGCUUCUGCC